GACGGAGACAAGGGAAUGACAGUUAGCUAUUAAUGAAGCUUCAAUCUUUCGGGAGAAAAUGGGCAUGAGCAAAUGGGACUGCAUUGACUUUUCUUAAUAAACAGGCAUCAAAAAAUGUCAUCUUCACCUGAAAGUAAUCUCUUGAAAUCUUAGGACUGAAGCAUUAAUCAAGCUUUCGAGAAUGAGCACAAACACUGACAUUUUGGAUUUGUCUUAUGAGAUGUCUGAUCGCGAUGAGAUAUUCAUCGACGAAGCUCCUCUGCUUGUUUUCCGUGUCAUAGGCUGCACAGUUGUUACUUUGCUUGUUGGUUUUACCAUCAUCAUAUAUGUUACGUCAGGG